AUCUAGAUAGCUUAUAUUUAGAGCUUAAUAUUGAAGAUAUUACGGAAAUAUUUUUAUUUUUAGAUA
rnacentral:tRNA from 1 species